AGUCCGUAAUGUGAGCAUAUUCUCAAUAACUCCUUGAAUCAUUCCCAUGCUUCAAAGAGUGAUUCCCCAUCCUUCUGCCUAAAACAUGUGAUUUGGUUCCUAAAUU